ensembl:ncRNA F08F1.11 ncRNA
CUGUAAAAUGCUAAUAGUAGUCCAUUUAAUAUCAUAAUUCAUCUUUUUAAUAUCAUAAUCCAUUUAAUAUCAUAAUUCAAAAUUUCUGAGUGGAAACACAUUAAGUAAAAUAAAAAUGAGUGUCUAAAAUUUUAGCUCUGAUUUGU